CAGCCCCUCACUAUGGAACUUUAUAUUUCCCCAGUAUGAAGAAGAAAAAUGUCUCCAUGCAAUCCAUCAAGACCACCCGGGACCGAGUGCCUACAUAUCAGUACAACAUGAAUUUUGAAAAGCUGGGCAAAUGCAUCAUAAUAAACAACAAGAACUUUGAUAAAGUGACAGGUAUGGGCGUUCGAAACGGAACAGACAAAGAUGCCGAGGCGCUCUUCAAGUGCUUCCGAAGCCUGGGUUUUGACGUGAUUGUCUAUAAUGACUGCUCUUGUGCCAAGAUGCAAGAUCUGCUUAAAAAAGCUUCUGAAGAGGACCAUACAAAUGCCGCCUGCUUCGCCUGCAUCCUCUUAAGCCAUGGAGAAGAAAAUUUAAUUUAUGGGAAAGAUGGUGUCACACCAAUAAAGGAUUUGACAGCCCAUUUUAGGGGGGAUAGAUGCAAAACCCUUUUAGAGAAACCCAAACUCUUCUUCAUUCAGGCUUGCCGAGGGACUGAGCUCGAUGAUGGCAUCCAGGCCGACUCGGGGCCCAUCAAUGACACAGAUGCUAAUCCUCGAUACAAGAUCCCAGUGGAAGCUGACUUCCUCUUCGCCUAUUCCACGGUUCCAGGAUACUACUCGUGGAGGAGCCCAGGAAGAGGCUCCUGGUUUGUGCAAGCCCUCUGCUCCAUCCUGGAGGAGCACGGAAAAGACCUGGAGAUCAUGCAGAUCCUCACCAGGGUGAAUGACAGAGUUGCCAGGCACUUUGAGUCUCAGUCUGAUGACCCACGCUUCCAUGAGAAGAAGCAGAUCCCCUGUGUGGU
rnacentral:sRNA from 1 species